rnacentral:piRNA from 1 species
UGCAGUGAUAUUACAGGCAGAUGGUUGAUGU